CGCACUGCGCUACUUACUGCGACUUGCCGAAUUCAGUGAGUCAUCGCAUCUUUGAACGCACAUUGCG
rnacentral:rRNA from 1 species